UCCCCCUUACUAGACCGCCCUCACAGUAACGCCCCUUUGGCUGUUCAAGUUUCUGAACUCAGUGACAUGCUACCGAAUGACAACACAAGCGCCGCGCGGGACUUUUAAAAACGACUCACUGGAUGGAUUUCGCUGCAGCGAUCACUCAACUGUCGAUAUAAGAAGUUGGGGUUGAUGAUCCACAUGAUGGUGAUGGACCAGGACAGCUCUGGACCUCCUGACUGGCAGCUCCAUCCUCAACCUCUCUUCCUGCCCUUCACACAUGUGCAGGCAGCCAGUUUUCUGAAAGAUGGUUGAUGUCAGUACCAACAUGUUGUGAUGGAGGCUUCCACCUGAGCUGAACACAGAAACUUGCACACAGUGGUGAGUAAAUCACUGAAUCUGUUUUGUUCUGCACUAGACCAAUACAGUAAUUCCUUCAUGUGCUGUGUUUAUUUAUAGCAGAACUUGUGUAUAGAGGAUAAUACAAAACACUGGCACAGUAGUAGUGACCCCUGUACAGGCCAGAAGCUCUGUAUCUCUUCAGCCUGGUGUUCUGCAUUAAAAUGAUGGGUGUGAUUUUUAUGUAGUGUAUUCUAUGUAUACCCUCUCGUGUGUGUGUGUGUGUGUGUGUGUGUGUGUGUGUGUGUGUGUGUGUGUGUG